CCAAACUUGGUCAUUUAGAGGAAGUAAAAGUCGUAACAAGGUAACCGUAGGUGAACCUGCGGUUGGAUCAUUACUGAUUAAAACUUGACCUAAGGUUGAGCUCUAACGAGUUCCCUUAACGUCAUAAACACCUGUUGCACAUUUUGUAUUUGGGGUUUUUUUGAUGAAUUUUGAAGAAACCCCAACAUUGAUAUAAACCUUUAUUCUUUUGACUGAAUAUCUAUGUAAAUAGAAACAACUUUUGACAACGGAUCUCUUGGCUCUCGCAUCGAUGAAGAACGCAGC
rnacentral:misc_RNA from 1 species